CGCGGUGGGCGGGGGCAUCGGCGUGCGACGGGCUGGGAGGUGGGAGGAGCGCCGGGAGCCCACGCCGCGGCUGCUGCCUGGUCCCAGUCUUCUCGGGGGUCCACGCCGCCUUGGACCGCCUCUUCCACACACUACCUUUUCAAGCUGCAUUUCCGUAGUUUUCCCUGUUCCCGAUCCCGCCCCUCAGACCGACUGCCGGCCUCAGCUCUGGGGCGCCCAGGGGUCAACAGACCUCAGGAUCUCUCCCUACUCCAUAGAGAAAUCUAAUUCAGGAAAGCCACUGAGAAACUUGUCUCCACCAAGAUAAAGAAACUGAAGCUCAAGAAGUAAAGUAAUGGCCAAGGUCACACAGCUAGUGACUGGGUUGGGUGUGACUGAGCAACCACUGUGUGCCAGGGUCUAAGAAUACAGGAAACAAGACACUCUCUUUUCUCUACCUAAUGAACACCUAGUCACCCUUCAGGAGCAAACUAAAAAUGUCAUCUCUUAUGAAACUUUUCGUAAGCCCCUUGCCACCCACAAGUAGAAUUGAUAACUUGCUUUUUUGUAUACCCCUCUGAAAUAGCACUUUUCACAGUUACUGUAAUGAAAUGCUUCUGUAUGUCCAUUUCUCUAACUUUGAGCACCUUGGUGACAGGGUCUGUUUACUAUUCAUUGCCACUUGGAUGUCUGAUAGACAUCUCAAACUCAACAUGUCCAAAGCUGGACACCUGAUUUUUUUCGCCCAAAUGACCCCUCCCCUAAAGCGGUCCUCAUCUCAGUUGAUGGCAGUUUCACCUUUCCAGUUGCUCUGGCCAAAAAACCUUGGAACCACACCUCAUAUUCAAUCUGUCAGCAAAUCCUGUUGACUCUCUCUUCGAAAUACUUCCAGAAUCCAAUCACUUCUUAUCACCUCCAGUGCUACCACCCUGGUCCAAACCACCAUCACGUCUCACUGGCAUCACCUCAGUAACCUCCUGACUGGUCUCACUGCUUCACCCUUGUCCCCUGUGGCCUAUUCUCCACACGGAAGCCAGAGUGAUCCUGCUAAACGCAAGUCAGAUCAUGUCAGUUCUCAGCACAAAAACUCUCCAAUGGCUCCCCAUCUCUCUCAGAGUAAAGCCAAAAUCCUUCAAUGGCCUACAGGCCCUAUACAAUCUGGUCUCCUACUAAAUCUCUGAUCAUAUCCCCUAGUACAUUCUCCCUCCCACUCUGCUCCAGCUACUUGGUCCUCCUUGCUGUUUCUUGAACAAGCCAGAUGCACUUCUUACCCAUGACCUUUGCACUGGCUCUUCCCUUGCUAGGUAUACUCUUCUGCAUGGCUCCCUUCCUCACCUCCCUCAAGUCUUUGUUCAAAUGUCACUUUCUCAGUGAGGCCUACCUUGACCAGCCUAUUUAAGAUUGCCUGUAUUCUAAUUUCCAGUUUACAGUAAAUACAGCGUAUAGAGGAACAAGAUAAAUGACACCACAAGGGAAAAAACCAGACAAAUCCAGAAGUAGGAUAUUCUACAAAACAAAUGAGUUGUACUUUUCAAAAAGCCAAUGUCAUUAAUUUAAAAAAAUAAAGAUGGGAGACUUCUAGUUCUGGACCCAAGUGGAGUAGACAUGCUUCUCCCUAUUUCUCCCACUAAGGACAGCUAAAACUCUGUAUGUGAUAUAUAAAACAAACAUAGGAAGACACUAAAAGAAGGAGAAAAGGACAGACUUGACUAGGUGACUCGACUAAAAACAAAAACAUGAACAGAGCCUCAGAGACAUGUGGGACUAUAACAAAAGGCCUAACAUUCAUGUCAUCGGAGUCCCAGAAGGAGAAGAGAAAGGGUGGGGGUGAAAAGUCCUCAAGAAAUGAUGGCUGAAAAUCCCCCAAAUCUGGCAAAAUACAUAAACCUACAGAUUCAAGAAGUUGAACAAACCCUCAACACAGGAUAAAGUCAAAUCCAUGCCAAGACACAUUAUAAUAAAACUUUUAAAAACGAGGCAAAGAGAAAAUCUUGAAAGCAGUAAGAGAGAAACACCACUUUACCAACAGGGGGAAAGCAAUUCAAGUAUCAGCGAUUUCUCACCAGAAACCAUGGUGGCCAGAAGGAAGUGGCAACAACGUAUUUCAAGUGUUAAAAUAACUGCCAAGCCUGGAUGC